rnacentral:rRNA from 1 species
UACCAGCACCCCGAGUGGUCGGGGCGAUUAUUGGGCCUAAAGCAUCCGUAGCCGGUUCUACAAGUCUUCCGUUAAAUCCACCUGCUUAACAGAUGGGCUGCGGAGGAUACUAUAGAGCUAGGAGGCGGGAGAGGCAAGCGGUACUCGAUGGGUAGGGGUAAAAUCCGUUGAUCCAUUGAAGACCACCAGUGGCGAAGGCGGCUUGCCAGAACGCGCUCGACGGUGAGGGAUGAAAGCUGGGGGAGCAAACCGG